GACGAACGCUGGCGGCGUGCUUAACACAUGCAAGUCGAACGGAAAGGCCCCCUUGUGGGGUACUCGAGUGGCGAACGGGUGAGUAACACGUGAGUAACCUACCCUUGACUUUGGGAUAACUUCAGGAAACUGGGGCUAAUACCGGAUAGGAGCUCCUGCUGCAUGGUGGGGGUUGGAAAGUUUCGGCGGUUGGGGAUGGACUCGCGGCUUAUCAGCUUGUUGGUGGGGUAGUGGCUCACCAAGGCUUUGACGGGUAGCCGGCCUGAGAGGGUGACCGGCCACAUUGGGACUGAGAUACGGCCCAGACUCCUACGGGAGGCAGCAGUGGGGAAUAUUGCACAAUGGGCGGAAGCCUGAUGCAGCAACGCCGCGUGCGGGAUGACGGCCUUCGGGUUGUAAGCCGCUUUCGCCUGUGACGAAGCGUGAGUGACGGUAAUGGGUAAAGAAGCACCGGCUAACUACGUG
rnacentral:rRNA from 1 species